rnacentral:lncRNA from 1 species
GGCUGGAGUGCAGUGGUGUGAUCUUGGCUCACUGCAACAUCCGCCUCCUGGGUUCAUGCCAUUCUCCUGCCUCAGCCUCCUGAGUAGCUGGGAUUAAAGGAGCCUGCCACCAUGCCUGGCUAAUUUUUUUGUAUUUUUAGUAGAGACGUGGUUUCACCAUGUUAGCCAGGAUGGUCUCGAUCUCCUGACCUCGUGAUCCUCCCGCCUCGGCCUCCCAAAGUGCUGGGAUUACAGGCCUGAGCCACUGCGCCUGGCAGAGACGGGGUUUCACCAUGUUGGCCAGGAUGAUCUUGAUCUCUUGGCUUGGUGAUCCGCCCACCUCGGCCUCCCAAAGUCUUGGGAUUACAGGCGUAAGCCACUGUGCCCGGCCUAUUUUUAUUUUUUUUGAGACAGAGUCUCGUUUUGUUGCCCAGGCUGGAGUGCAGUGGUGCAAUCUCAGUUCACUGCAACCUCUGCCUCCUGGGCUCAGGCGAUUCUCCUGCCUCAGCCUCCCGAGUAGCUGGGAUUACAGGCACCCGCCACCAUGCCCGGCUAAUUUUUGUAUUUUUAGUAGAGACGGGGCUUCACCAUGUUGGCUAGGCUGGUCUCGAACUCCUGACCUCAGGUGAUCCUCCCACCUCAGCCUCCCGAAGUGCUGGGUUUACAGGCGUCAGCCACUGCGCCCGGUCGAGUUUGACUCUUGAUUCCAUUUCCUGAGCAUCACCAUGUGCAGCAGGAAACAUUCUGGAAAGGUGUUUUCCCUGCCGUAGAUUCCAUGUAGCCCAAGAUUAGGGGCGAAUGCACUUAGGAGGUAAAUAGAUGCGGCUUCAGGUCUGAGUUCCACCACCACUGACCCGCUGUGUAACCUUUGCAGGUCAUUGAUCCUCUCUGACUCUCAGUUUGCCCGUCUGUAAAACAGAUCUCCUGAGUAGAUGUUUACUCAGCUCAGUGUCUGGCACAUAGCAAAUGCUCACUAAGUGGGAGCUAUGUUAAAUCUUUUUUUUUUUUUUUUUGAGACAGGGUCUCACUCUGUUGCUCAGACUGGAGUGCAGUGGCACCAUCUCGGCUCACCUCAACCUCCGCCUCCCAAGCUCAAGUGAUUCUCCUGCUUCAGCUUCCUGAGUAGCUGAGAUUAAGGCGAACGCCACUACCACCCAGCUCAUUUUUGUAUUUUUUAAUAGAGUCAGGGUUUCACCAUGUUGGCCAGGCUGGUCUCGAACUCAUGACCUCAAAUGAUCCACCCACCUCGGAAGUACUGGGAUUACAGGUGUAAGCCACUGCAUCUGGCUUAGCUAUGGCGAAUCUUAAGGUAUGGGGAAUUAUCUUUCCCUUUCCCCAGUCCUACUUCAUCUCAUCAAAUUAAACCCAACAGCCUCUGAGUAAUAUUGGGAAGAAAACUGCUAUUUCCCUGCCCACCAUACUGAGCUCACAUGAACCACUGCCCCCAGAGGAAGAACCAUGACUUUGCUCUCUGGAAGCUACAUGCCUGACUGCCUCUUCCUUUGGUUUUUUCCUGCUGGGCCAGAGGUAUUCUCCCCUGUGCUCCUGCCCCUUGCCCUCUGCCCCUGCUCCCUUCCAAGCUCCUCAAGGUCCUGUCCCUGAGAAAGAAGGCCUGGGUUAUUCCUUUUUUUUUUUUUUUUUUUUGAGUCUCGCUCUGUUGCCCAGGCUAGAGUGCAGUGGCACAAUCUCGGCUCACUGCAACCUCCACCUCCCGGGCUCAAGCGAUUCUCCUGCCUCAGCCUCCCGAAUAGGUGGGAUUACAGGCAUCUGCCAUCACGCCCGGCUAAUUUUUGGAUUUUUAGUAGAGACGAGGUUUUGCCAUGUUGGCCAGGCUGGUCUCGAACUCCUGACCUCAGGUGAUCUGCCCGCCUCAGCCUCCCAAAGUGCUGGGAUUACAGGAGUAAGCCACCGUGCCUGGUCAUCGCUAUUAUCAUUUUUGUUUUCUUUCUUUCUCUCUCUUUUUUUUUUUUUUUGAGAUAGGGUCACGCUCUGUUACCCAGGCUGGAGUGCAGUAGCGUGAUAAUAGUGAUAAUAGUUUACUGCAGCCUUGAACUCCUGGGCUUAAGUAAUCCUCCAGUCUCAUCCUCCUGAGUAGCUGGGACCACAGGUGCAGGCCACCACGCCCAGCUAAUUUCACUUGAUCUCAGCUAAAAGGCCGACAAAUGAUACCAGCUAAUUAAAAAAAAAAAAAUUGGCCAGGCGCAGUGGCUCAUGCCUGUAAUCCCAGCACUUUGGGAGGCUGAGGCAGGUUGGUCACGAGGAGUUCAAGACCAGCCUGUCCAACAUGGUGAAACCCCAUCUCUACC